CAUGGCCGUUCGGAAAGUGCAAAUUGGGAGGCGACAGAGGCAAGACCCGCAUGAUCUUCAGGAAGCGGGCGGAAGAGGCGGAGCUUAGGAUCUGCAGAAGUAGAUGCAGAUGACCGGUACUUAAAGG
ensembl:ncRNA K06A4.12 ncRNA